rnacentral:rRNA from 1 species
AUGCUCCUUCAAAGUUUGGGCGGCUGUAAAUUGCUUGUUCCUAUUUUUUGUGGGUGUCAAUGGCUUGUUCGAUGUGCCCGAGCUGGUUAUUGCGGAUUGGGAGACUUGGCUUCGGUCCAUGCGUGGUGGAGUUUGACGACCCUCUCGCCCGGUCACAGGAGGAAGGCCAUCGCCUUGCUCGUUAUGCUUGUCACCUGGAAGCUAUGGAACGAAAGAAAUGCACGCGUCUUCUGAAAUAAAUCGAUUUUGCUCACAACCAUCAUUGCUAAUAUCAGGACAGAGGCGCGGAAUAAUUGGGUCCUCAUAAGGGCAAAAAAUUUGAGCUCUUUGAUGUCGUGA